rnacentral:rRNA from 1 species
UACGGAGGGGGCAAGCGUUGUUCGGAUUUACUGGGCGUAAAGGGUGUGUAGGCGGUUGCGUAAGUCUGGUGUGAAAUCUUCACCGCUUAACGGGAAGAGGUCACUGGAAACUGCGUAACUCGAGUAUGGUAGAGGCAAGCGGAAUUCCUGGUGUAGCGGUGGAAUGUGUAGAGAUCGGGAGGAACACCAGUGGCGAAAGCGGCUCUCUGGUCCAAAACUGACGCUGAGGGGCGAAAGCGUGGGGAGCGAACGGG